GACGAACGCUGGCGGCGUGCCUAAUACAUGCAAGUAGGACGCACAGUUUAUACCGUAGCUUGCUACACCAUAGACUGUGAGUUGCGAACGGGUGAGUAACGCGUAGGUAACCUGCCUAUUAGAGGGGGAUAACUAUUGGAAACGAUAGCUAAUACCGCAUAACAGUAUGUAACACAUGUUAGAUGCUUGAAAGAUGCAAUUGCAUCGCUAGUAGAUGGACCUGCGUUGUAUUAGCUAGUAGGUAGGGUAAUGGCCUACCUAGGCGACGAUACAUAGCCGACCUGAGAGGGUGAUCGGCCACACUGGGACUGAGACACGGCCCAGACUCCUACGGGAGGCAGCAGUAGGGAAUCUUCGGCAAUGGGGGGAACCCUGACCGAGCAACGCCGCGUGAGUGAAGAAGGUUUUCGGAUCGUAAAGCUCUGUUGUUAAGGA
rnacentral:rRNA from 1 species